ACGCACGCUGGCGGCGUGCUUCACCCCUGCCAGUCGCACGCUGAGGCUCAGCUUUUGUUGGGUGGAUGAGUGGCGAACGGGUGAGUAACACGUGAGUAACCUGCCUCCUUCUUUGGGAUAACGCCCGGAAACGGGUGCUAAUACUGGAUAUUCACUGGUCUUCGCAUGGGGGUUGGUGGAAAGGGUUUUUCUGGUGGGGGAUGGGCUCGCGGCCUAUCAGCUUGUUGGUGGGGUGAUGGCCUACCAAGGCUUUGACGGGUAGCCGGCCUGAGAGGGUGACCGGUCACAUUGGGACUGGGAUACGGCCCAGACUCCUACGGGAGGCAGCAGUGGGGAAUAUUGCACAAUGGGCGCAAGCCUGAUGCAGCGACGCCGCGUGAGGGAUGGAGGCCUUCGGGUUGUGAACCUCUUUCGCUCAUGGUCAAGCCGCAACAAUGGUUGUGGUGAGGGUAGUGGGGAAAGAAGCGCCGGCGAACUACGU
rnacentral:rRNA from 1 species